rnacentral:lncRNA from 1 species
AUCUAAAGAUAUUACAACUACACUGUUAACUUGACAGUAGACAAAUAUCCAAUUUUAAUGUAUCAAGUUUUGGCGCCGUUGCGACGGGGUUUACCUUUAUUUUUCGGUUAUUUACUUAGUCUAAAACUUCUAACUUGUUUAAUACUUUUUGCAGUUGAUGACCCAGGUGCAUGACCAGGGGACUUAAUUUCGCUUACAAAUCAGGAACUCGCAAGCUUAGGAAGAACCAACCGUCAACAAAAAUCAAUCACUGCAACAAUGGCCAACUUCAGCACUCCAGAACAAAUGGCCGG